CUUCAAUGUCAAAAUUGUGACAAUGUGUCAUUCUACUUUCAGAGCACUUCAAUGUAAAAAUUGUGUGAGGAUGUUGGUAUAUGUUCAUAGCACUUCAAUAUAAAAAUUGUGUGAAUAUGUUGGUUACUUUCAUAGCACUUCAAUAUAAAAAUUGUGUGAAUAUAUUGGUAUGAUAUCAUAGCACUUCAAUAUAAAAAUUGUGUGAAUAUGUUGGUAUACCUUCAUAGCACUUCAAUAUAAAAAUUGUGUGAAUAUGUCGGUAUACCUUCAUAGCACUUUAAUAUAAAAAUUGUGUGAAUAUGUCGGUAUACCCUCAUAGCACUUUAAUAUAAAAAUUGUGUGAAUAUGUUGGUAUACUUUCAUAGCACUUUAAUAUAAAAAUUGUGUGAAUAUGUUGGUAUACUUUCAUAGCACUUUAAUAUAAAAAUUGUGUGAAUAUGUUGGUAUACCUUCAUAGCACUUUAAUAUAAAAAUUGUGUGAAUAUGUUGGUAUACUUUCAUAGCAC